rnacentral:rRNA from 1 species
AUUGAACGCUGGCGGCGUGCCUAAUACAUGCAAGUCGAACGAAUUGGCGCACGGGUGAGUAAUAUAUAGUUAAUCUGCCCUACACAGAGGAACCACAGUUGCAAACGACUGCUAAUACUUCAUAUUGUAGGAUGAGACGAUAUCGUAUCAGGUAGUGUGUAAGGUAAUGGCUGACCAAGGCUAUGCCGCGUAACUGGUCUGAGAGGAUGAUCAGUCACAUUGUAACUGAGACACGGUCGAAACGCAUACGGGAGGCAGCAGGAAGGAAUAUUGCGCAAGGGGGGAAACCCUGACGCAGCAACGCGGUGUGGAGGAUGACAAUUUGCGGAGAGUAAACUCCUUUUAUCAGGAAAGCGGUACCUGAUGAAGAAGCACCGGCUAACUCCGUGCCAGCAGCCGCGGUAAUAC